rnacentral:rRNA from 1 species
AACGAACGCUGGCGGCAUGCCUAACACAUGCAAGUCGAACGAGACCUUCGGGUCUAGUGGCGCACGGGUGCGUAACGCGUGGGAACCUGCCCUUAGGUUCGGUAUAACUCCCCGAAAGGGGUGCUAAUACCGGAUAAUGUCUUCGGACCAAAGAUUUAUCGCCUUUGGAUGGGCCCGCGUUGGAUUAGCUAGUUGGUAGGGUAAAAGCCUACCAAGGCGACGAUCCAUAGCUGGUCUGAGAGGAUGAUCAGCCACACUGGGACUGAGACACGGCCCAGACUCCCACGGGAGGCAGCAGUGGGGAAUAUUGGACAAUGGGCGAAAGCCUGAUCCAGCAAUGCCGCGUGAGUGAUGAAGGCCUUAGGGUUGUAAAGCUCUUUUACCCGGGAUGAUAAUGACAGUACCGGGAGAAUAAGCUCCGGCUAACUCCGUG